CACAUUCAAAAACCAGUUCCCAUGUGAUCACCAAAGUUAAGCAAUGUUGAGCCUGGUCAGUACCUAGAUGAGUGUCCACUUGGGAAUACCAGGUGCUGUAA
rnacentral:rRNA from 1 species